ensembl:snRNA U6 U6 spliceosomal RNA
UGCUCACUGGGGCAGCAUUCUAAAAUUGGAAUGAGACAGAGCGGAUUAGCAUGGCCCCUGUGCAAGGAUGACAUAAAUCCAAGAAAUAUUCUCUAUUUUU